CCCGUUAAUGGGUGAUAGCGUGCCUUUUGUAGAAUGAACCGGCGAGUUACGAUCCCAUGCAAGGUUAAGUUGAAGAGACGGAGCCGCAGCGAAAGCGAGUCUGAAUGGGGCGUUUUUAGUAUGUGGUCGUAGACCCGAAACCAGGUGAUCUACCCAUGUCCAGGGUGAAGUCCAGGUAACACUGGAUGGAGGCCCGAACCCACGCACGUUGAA
rnacentral:ncRNA from 1 species